GAUGAAGAACGUAGCGAAAUGCGAUACUUGGUGUGAAUUGCAGAAUCCCGCGAAUCAUCGAGUUUUUGAACGCAAGUUGCGCCCGAAGCCAUUCGGCCGAGGGCACGUCUGCCUGGGUGUCACGCAUCGUUGCCCCCCCAAACUCCGGUUCGGGCAGGGCGGAAGUUGGCCUCCCGCGCGUGCCUGCGCGCGCGGUUAGCCCAAAAGCGAGUCCUCGGCGACGAGCGCCACGACAAUCGGUGGUUUUUUUACCCUCGUUCCUCGUCGUGCGUGCCCCGUCGCCCGAACGCGCUCUUGCGACCCUUACGCGUCGCCUCGGCGGCGCUCCCAACGCGACCCCAGGUCAGGCGGGACUACCCGCUGAGUUUAAGCAUAUCAAUAAGCGGAGGA
rnacentral:misc_RNA from 1 species